AAACAGUUACAUUGUGUUGUUUCAGAUCUUGGGCCUAUAUAUAUAGGCCCAAGAUCUAAAGCAAUGCAGUGUAACUGUUU